GGACCACACUUGUUUGCAUAUGGA
rnacentral:siRNA from 1 species